rnacentral:rRNA from 1 species
ACGUUUCGGAUGGAAGGAUAUAAUUCUAGUGGCGAACGGGUGAGUAACACGUGAACAACCUGCCCUGAAGUCGGGGGGAUAACACUUGGAAACAAGUGCUAAUACCGCAUAAGACCACGACCCGGCAUCGGGAUGAGGUCAAAGAUUUAUCGCUUUAGGAGGGGUUCGCGUCCCAUUAGGUAGAUGGCGGGGUAACGGCUCACCAUGCCGACGAUGGGUAGCCGAGCUGAGAGGCUGAUCGGCCACACUGGAACUGAGACACGGUCCAGACUCCUACGGGAGGCAGCAGGUGGGGAAUAUUGGGCAAUGGGGCGCAAGCCUGACCCAGCAACGCCGCGUGAGGGAAGAAGGUUUUCGGAUUGUAAACCUCUGUCGCAAGGGACGAAGAAGUGACGGUACCUUGUGAGGAAGCCCCGGCUAACUACGUGCCAGCCGCCGC